AUUGAACGCUGGCGGCAUGCUUUACACAUGCAAGUCGAACGGUAACAGGCCGCAAGGUGCUGACGAGUGGCGAACGGGUGAGUAAUGCAUCGGAACGUGCCCAGUCGUGGGGGAUAACGCAGCGAAAGUUGCGCUAAUACCGCAUACGAUCUAUGGAUGAAAGCGGGGGACCGUAAGGCCUCGCGCGAUUGGAGCGGCCGAUGUCAGAUUAGGUAGUUGGUGGGGUAAAGGCUCACCAAGCCGACGAUCUGUAGCUGGUCUGAGAGGACGACCGGCCACACUGGGACUGGGACACGGCCCAGACUCCUACGGGAGGCAGCAGUGGGGAAUUUUGGACAAUGGGCGCAAGCCUGAUCCAGCAAUGCCGCGUGCAGGAAGAAGGCCUUCGGGUUGUAAACUGCUUUUGUACGGAACGAAACGGUCCUGGUUAAUACCCGGGGCUAAUGACGGUACCGUAAGAAUAAGCACCGGCUAACUACGUGCCAGCCGCCGCGGUAAGAC
rnacentral:rRNA from 1 species